rnacentral:rRNA from 1 species
CUGGAAUGGGUAAUGACUUAAAUCUAUAUGGCCCCUGGAUUGGACUGCGGCCGAUCAGGCUGUUGGUGAGGUAAUGGCCCACCAAACCUGUAACCGGUACGGGCUCUGAGAGGAGGAGCCCGGAGAUGGGCACUGAGACAAGGGCCCAGGCCCUAUGGGGCGCAGCAGGCGCGAAACCUCUGCAAUAGGCGAAAGCCUGACAGGGUUACUCUGAGUGGUUUCCGUUAAGGAGAUCUUUUGGCACCUCUAAAAAUGGUGCAGAAUAAGGGGUGGGCAAGUCUGGUGUCAGCCGCCGCGGUAAUACCAGCACCCCGAGUGGUCGGGACGUUUAUUGGGCCUAAAGCAUCCGUAGCCGGUUCUGCAAGUCUUCCGUUAAAUCCACCUGCUUAACAGAUGGGCCGCGGAAGAUACUAUAGAGCUAGGAGGCGGGAGAGGCAAGCGGUACUCGAUGGGUAGGGGUAAAAUCCGUUGAUCCAUUGAAGACCACCAGUGGCGAAGGCGGCUUGCCAGAACGCGCUCGACGGUGAGGGAUGAAAGCUGGGGGAGCGAACCGGAUUAGAUACCCGGGUAGUCCCAGCCGUAAACGAUGCGAGCUAGAUGAUCCAGUCGCAAAUCGCGAUUGGAGUGUCGCAGGGAAGCCGUUAAGCUCGCCGCCUGGGGAGUACGGUCGCAAGACUGAAACUUAAAGGAAUUGGCGGGGGAGCACCACAAGGGGUGAAGCCUGCGGUUCAAUUGGACUCAACGCCGGU